AUGGAUGAUAACAACUUAUGCAUUUUGAAUUGGAAUGUACGUGGUUUGAACUGCCCAGACCGCCGUGCAGCUGUAAAAGAAACCAUUGCCUCCACCCCGUGCAACAUUGUAUGUCUUCAAGAAACCAAACUUGCUGUUGUGGAUCCUUUUGUUGCUGCUUUUCUGGGUGGCCACCGUUUGAAAAGCUUCGCUGAGCGCCCUGCGAAUGGCACCCGUGGGGGCAUCCUUCUCUUGUGGAAUGAAGACCUCAUCAAGAUUGAUAAUGUGCACUUUGGGACCUUCUUCCUCUCGGCCAUGGUGACGAUCAUCGGCUCAGGCACCUCCUUCCAGCUCACAACU
rnacentral:rRNA from 1 species